GGCGAACGCUGGCGGCGUGCUUAACACAUGCAAGUCGAACGGAAAGGCCCUGCUUUUGUGGGGUGCUCGAGUGGCGAACGGGUGAGUAACACGUGAGUAACCUGCCCUUGACUUUGGGAUAACUUCAGGAAACUGGGGCUAAUACCGGAUAGGAGCUCCUGCUGCAUGGUGGGGGUUGGAAAGUUUCGGCGGUUGGGGAUGGACUCGCGGCUUAUCAGCUUGUUGGUGGGGUAGUGGCUUACCAAGGCUUUAACGGGUAGCCGGCCUGAGAGGGUGACCGGCCACAUUACGACUGAGAUACGGCCCAGACUCCUACGGGAGGCAGCAGUGGGGAAUAUUGCACAAUGGGCGGAAGCCUGAUGCAGCAACGCCGCGUGCGGGAUGACGGCCUUCGGGUUGUAAACCGCUUUCGCCUGUGACGAAGCGUGAGUGACGGUAAUGGGUAAAGAAGCACCGGCUAACUACGUG
rnacentral:rRNA from 1 species